rnacentral:rRNA from 1 species
GACGAACGCUGGCGGCGUGCUUAACACAUGCAAGUCGAGCGGAAAGGCCACUUCGGUGGUACUCGAGCGGCGAACGGGUGAGUAACACGUGAGUAAUCUGCCCCUGGCUUUGGGAUAGCCACCGGAAACGGUGAUUAAUACCGGAUACGACCACUUCUCGCAUGGGAUGGUGGUGGAAAGUUUUUUCGGCCAGGGAUGUGCUCGCGGCCUAUCAGCUUGAUGGUGAGGUAAUGGCUCACCAUGGCUUCGACGGGUAGCCGGCCUGAGAGGGUGACCGGUCACACUGGGACUGAGACACGGCCCAGACUCCUACGGGAGGCAGCAGUGGGGAAUAUUGGACAAUGGGCGGAAGCCUGAUCCAGCAACGCCGCGUGAGGGAUGACGGCCUUCGGGUUGUAAACCUCUUUCAGUACCGACGAAGCGCAAGUGACGGUAGGUACAGAAGAAGCACCGGCCAACUACGUGCCAGCAGCCGCAGUAAAAC